GGAUGGUUGGCAGAGCAGUAAUGCCCUGGUCCCGAAAACCGAGUGAGCCUCCGGGCUGCGUGGGUGCAAUCCCUACACCAUCCGCCA
rnacentral:tRNA from 1 species